rnacentral:tRNA from 1 species
UGUUCCUAUGGUGUCAAUUAGAGCACAUUAGAUUUUCAUUCUAAAGGAAUAAAGUAAUUUAUUAGGAAUAG